CGAAUUAGCUGGCUAAAGGCUAGCGUGGAACCUAGGGGGGACACGUACCCCCAUUUGAGAAACACUGGUCUAGAAUAUCUUUCCGAGUGUGUUUUGUGUAAAUCAUUCCCAUGUUUAGAGAUUAUAUGAGUUUGUAGAUGUUGGAAAUGUCUAUUUUUCUAAAUACUGUUAAAGGGAGAGACUCUAGAGGCAAAAACAUGUUGUUUAAUGUAUAGAUUAUAGAUUUUGGACUAUUUAUCGUCCAUAAAAUGUGUUCUUUCAGACGAGUGGACAGAACAUUUAUUUUUCUACACGUAAAAGUUAAGUAGUAAGUUAAAAGUUAGCAUUAGCUAAUGCCUCAUUUAGCAUAUUUAACCCUCCUCCUGUUGUCAUUGUGUUUUCAAAAAGUUUCUGUAUCACAAAAUUUGGGUUUUCUUUCAAACAAAUUGUCACCGUGUGGACGGUAACGUUUGGUAAAGGUUAGGUAAAGGUUAGGUAAAGGUUAGGUAAAGGUUUGGUAAAGGUUAGGUAAAGGUUAGGUAAAGGUUUCUGUGUUAGAUGUUGACUGUUGACCUCCUCCUGUAAUGUUGUCAUUCAUUCCUCUGUUUACAAUAAAAUACACAACCAAACAUGUCUAA